AUUGAACGCUGGCGGCAUGCCUUACACAUGCAAGUCGAACGGCAGCGGGGACUUCGGUCCGCCGGCGAGUGGCGAACGGGUGAGUAAUGUAUCGGAACGUACCAUUGAGUGGGGGAUAACUAUCCGAAAGGAUAGCUAAUACCGCAUAUUCUCUCCGGAGGAAAGCAGGGGACCGCAAGGCCUUGCGCUCAUUGAGCGGCCGAUAUCAGAUUAGCUAGUUGGUGAGGUAAAGGCUCACCAAGGCGACGAUCUGUAGCGGGUCUGAGAAGAUGGUACGGCAAACUGGAAACUAGACAAGGGCCAGAAUCCUACGGGAGGCAGGAGUGGGGAAAUUUGGACAAAGGGGGCAACCCUGAUCCAGCCAUGCCGCGUGAGUGAAGAAGGCCUUCGGGUUGUAAAGCUCUUUCGGCCGGGAAAAAAUCGCAUGGGUUAAUACCCUGUGUGGAUGAUGGUACCGGAAUAAGAAGCACCGGCUAACUACGUGCCAGCCGCCGCAGUAA
rnacentral:rRNA from 1 species